UACAGAGGGUGCUAGCGUUAAUCGGAUUUACUGGGCGUAAAGCGUGUGUAGGCGGUUCGUUAAGUCGGAUGUGAAAGCCCUGGGCUCAACCUAGGAAUUGCAUUCGAUACUGGCGGGCUAGAGUACGGUAGAGGGCGGCGGAAUUCCGGGUGUAGCGGUGAAAUGCGCAGAUAUCAGGAGGAACACCGGUGGCGAAGGCGGAUCUCUGGGCCAUUACUGACGCUGAGGAGCGAAAGCGUGGGGAGCGAACAGG
rnacentral:rRNA from 1 species